rnacentral:rRNA from 1 species
CAGCCGCCGCGGUAAUACGGAGGAUCCAAGCGUUAUCCGGAAUCAUUGGGUUUAAAGGGUCCGUAGGCGGUCUUGUAAGUCAGUGGUGAAAGCCCAUCGCUCAACGGUGGAACGGCCAUUGAUACUGCAGGACUUGAAUUAUUGGGAAGUAACUAGAAUAUGUAGUGUAGCGGUGAAAUGCUUAGAGAUUACAUGGAAUACCAAUUGCGAAGGCAGGUUACUACCAAUUGAUUGACGCUGAUGGACGAAAGCGUGGGUAGCGAACAGGAUUAGAGACCCCCGUAGUCCCUGUCUCUUAUAC